AGAUGCAGGCAUGAGGACAGAUGGAGAAACGUCACAGAGCCGUCAUUUCUGGAAAUCGACUCAGAGUGUGGGAGGAGCACUGGAUGAAUGCUUAGAGCAGACAUUUAACACCCAGGUCUAAUGCCAAGGAGGCAGGUGUCCCCCUGCUGUCUGACAGAGGAGCACACUCAGAGACAGACUGGUUUAUGCUAUGCUAACCUGCUGUCCCUGUGUCACCACAGAGGGGAUCUCAGCUGACAGAGCUAUGCAUUCAAGCUCCCUAACACAGGCUUGAGCAGGUCUAACAUCCUAUUGCUUCUGCAUCCCAUUUCAUUAAAACCCACAUAGUGGGCUAUACUUCCAUGCACUAUAGAGACACGGGCUGAUGCACACAUUUAGAAAAUGGUUCAUAACAUUUUAUAAAAGGAAGGUCAACUCAGAAAUGGUUAGCAAGAGGCAUUAAAUACUUAAGGAAGCAUGCAAAGGCUGAUAUAGCAGGAUGCUAACCAACAUAAUGUGUGUCCCCCUAGAGCAUCUGCAGAGAAUUUAGUAGUUGUCCACUGGGAAAGAAGUGCAUUGAAUGAAAUAUGUUGCAAACAACAUAAAAGGAAGCGUCAUAGAACUACUCAAAUAAUAAUUCCUAUUUGUAUUCAUUGCCAUGAAAAUAUGCCUGUCAUAUAUUUUCAAAUAAAACAAACUAC